rnacentral:rRNA from 1 species
UAAGAGCUUGCUUUAUGAAGUUAGGCGGACGGGUGAGUAACACGUGGGUAACCUGCCCAUAAGACUGGGAUAACUCCGGGAAACCGGGGCUAAACCGGAUAACAUUUUGAACGCAUGAAAUUGAAAGGCGGCUUCGGCUGUCACUUAUGGAUGGACCCGCGUCGCAUUAGCUAGUUGGGAGGUAACGGCUCACCAAGGCAACGAUGCGUAGCCGACCUGAGAGGGUGAUCGGCCACACUGGGACUGAGACACGGCCCAGACUCUACGGGAGGCAGCAGUAGGGAAUCUUCCGCAAUGGACGAAAGUCUGACGGAGCAACGCCGCGUGAGUGAUGAAGGCUUUCGGGUCGUAAAACUCUGUUGUUAGGGAAGAACAAGUGCUAGUUGAAUAAGCUGGCACCUUGACGGUACCUAACCAGAAAGCCACGGCUAACUACGUGCCAGCAGCCGCGGUAAACGUAGGUGCAAGCGUUAUCCGGAAUUAUUGGGCGUAAAGCGCGCGCAGGUGGUUUCUUAAGUUGAUGUGAAAGCCCACGGUCAACCGUGGAGGCAGACUUGAGUGCAGAAGAGGAAAGUGGAGCGUAGAGAUAUGGAGGAACACAGUCGAAGGCGACUU